rnacentral:tRNA from 1 species
UUCAACGUAGCUCAACCGGAAGAGCACUCGCCUGUUAAGCGAGGAGAUGGGGGUUCGAAGCCCUCCGUUGGAGCCA